GAUGAACGCUGGCGGCGUGCCUAAUACAUGCAAGUCGAGCGAACAGACGAGGAGCUUGCUCCUCUGACGUUAGCGGCGGACGGGUGAGUAACACGUGGAUAACCUACCUAUAAGACUGGGAUAACUUCGGGAAACCGGAGCUAAUACCGGAUAAUAUAUUGAACCGCUUGGUUCAAUAGUGAAAGACGGUUUUGCUGUCACUUAUAGAUGGAUCCGCGCCGCAUUAGCUAGUUGGUAAGGUAACGGCUUACCAAGGCAACGAUGCGUAGCCGACCUGAGAGGGUGAUCGGCCACACUGGAACUGAGACACGGUCCAGACUCCUACGGGAGGCAGCAGUAGGGAAUCUUCCGCAAUGGGCGAAAGCCUGACGGAGCAACGCCGCGUGAGUGAUGAAGGUCUUCGGAUCGUAAAACUCUGUUAUUAGGGAAGAACAAAUGUGUAAGUAACUAUGCACGUCUUGACGGUACCUAAUCAGAAAGCCACGGCUAACUACGU
rnacentral:rRNA from 1 species